ensembl:snRNA U2 U2 spliceosomal RNA
AUUGCUUCUCAGCCUUUUUGACUAAGAUCAAGUGUAGUAUCUGAUUUGUUAGCUCUGUAAAAGGACCUAAGAGGCCUCAAUGAGGUAAUGCAGGUUUCAAAACAGACUCUGUUUUCAUUGGAAGGUGGAAAUGCUGGCACUCCCCUCCUGAAGAGAAGCAAGGAUAGUCCAGAAUGCUACUUUAGCCU